UACGGAGGGCGCGAGCGUUAAUCGGAAUUACUGGGCGUAAAGCGCGCGUAGGCUGUUGUGUAAGUUGGGGGUGAAAUCCCACGGCUCAACCGUGGAACAGCCCUUGAUACUGCGCGACUUGAAUCCGGGAGAGGGUGGCGGAAUUCCAGGUGUAGGAGUGAAAUCCGUAGAUAUCUGGAGGAACAUCAGUGGCGAAGGCGGCCACCUGGACGGUGACUGACGCUGAGGCUCGAAAGCGUGGGGAGCAAACAGG
rnacentral:rRNA from 1 species